rnacentral:rRNA from 1 species
UGGGGAAUUUUGGGCAAUGGGCGAAAGCCUGACCCAGCAACGCCGCGUGAAGGAUGAAGUAUUUCGGUAUGUAAACUUCGAAAGAAUAGGAAGAAUAAAUGACGGUACUAUUUAUAAGGUCCGGCUAACUACGUGCCAGCAGCCGCGGUAAUACGUAGGGACCAAGCGUUGUUCGGAUUUACUGGGCGUAAAGGGCGCGUAGGCGGCAAUUCAAGUCAUCUGUGAAAUCUCCGGGCUUAACUCGGAACGGUCAGAUGAUACUGCUUUGCUAGAGUGCAGAAGGGGCAAUCGGAAUUCUUGGUGUAGCGGUGAAGUGCGUAGAUAUCAAGAGGAACACCUGAGGUGAAGACGGGUUGCUGGGCUGACACUGACGCUGAGGCGCGAAAGCCAGGGGAGCAAACGGGAUUAGAUACCCGCGUAGUCCCUGAGCGGGCUGGCAAGGCGCAU